UACGUAGGGGGCAAGCGUUGUCCGGAAUCAUUGGGCGUAAAGCGCGUGUAGGCGGCCACGUAAGUCCGCUCUGAAAGCCCGGGGCUCAACCCCGGGAGGCGGGUGGAUACUGCGUGGCUCGAGUCCGGAAGAGGCGAGUGGAAUUCCCGGUGUAGCGGUGAAAUGCGCAGAUAUCGGGAGGAACACCUAUGGCGAAGGCAGCUCGCUGGGACGUUACUGACGCUGAGACGCGAAAGCGUGGGGAGCAAACAGG
rnacentral:rRNA from 1 species